AUAUCAAUAAGCGGAGGAAAAGAAACUAACAAGGAUUCCCCUAGUAACGGCGAGUGAAGCGGGAUGAGCUCAAAUUUUAAAAUCUGGCUGGUUUUUUACUAGUCCGAAUUGUAGUUUUUAUAGAAGCGUUUUUUCGGUGGCAGCCUGGGUAUAAAUCCUUUUUGGAAUAGGGUAUCAUAGAGGGUGAGAAUCCCGUCUUUGACUCAGUGCAUGCUACUAUGUGAUACGUUUUUUCAAAGAGUCGAGUUGUUUUUGGGAAUGCAGCUCAAAAUGGGUGGUAAAUUUUUUC
rnacentral:rRNA from 1 species